AUCUAAAUAGUUUAUUAAGAAUAUUAGUUUGUGAUACUAAAGGUAUAUUUAUGAUAUUUUAGAUU
rnacentral:tRNA from 1 species